AAAAUACUUCUUCCGUCCAACAAACGAUGUCUCAAGUUUGUCAAAAUUUGGAUGCAUUUAGAUAUAACAUAGGGUAUAAAUGCAUUCAAAUUUAGUCAAAAUUGAGACAUCCUUUGUUGGACGGAGGAAGUAGGAA
rfam:Brachypodium distachyon strain Bd21 chromosome 1, whole genome shotgun sequence.